AACGCGAAGAACCUUACCUGGGCUCGAAAUGCAGUGGACCGGGGUAGAAAUAUCCCUUCCCCUUAAAAGGCUGCUGCAUAGGUGCUGCAUGGCUGUCGUCAGCUCGUGUCGUGAGAUGUUGGGUUAAGUCCCGCAACGAGCGCAACCCUCAUCUUCAGUUGCCACCGGGUUAUGCCGGGCACUCUGAAGAAACUGCCGGUGACAAGCCGGAGGAAGGCGGGGAUGACGUCAAGUCCUCAUGGCCCUUAUGGGCUGGGCUACACACGUGCUACAAUGGCGGUGACAGAGGGAGGCGCGGCGGCGACGCCUAGCCAAUCUCAAAAAGCCGUCUCAGUUCGGAUUGCUCUCUGCAACUCGAGAGCAUGAAGUCGGAAUCGCUAGUAAUCGUGGAUCAGCACGCCACGGUGAAUACGUUCCCGGGCCUUGUACACACCGACGCGUA
rnacentral:rRNA from 1 species